UACGUAGGGUGCGAGCGUUGUCCGGAAUUAUUGGGCGUAAAGAGCUUGUAGGCGGUUUGUCGCGUCUGCUGUGAAAUUCCAGGGCUUAACCCUGGGCUUGCAGUGGGUACGGGCAGACUAGAGUGUGGUAGGGGGAGACUGGAAUUCCUGGUGUAGCGGUGAAAUGCGCAGAUAUCAGGAGGAACACCGAUGGCGAAGGCAGGUCUCUGGGCCACUACUGACGCUGAGAAGCGAAAGCAUGGGGGAGCGAACAGG
rnacentral:rRNA from 1 species